GGGAUGUUGGGUUUGGGUCGUUCC
rnacentral:siRNA from 1 species